AAAAUGCGAUAAGUAAUGUGAAUUGCAAAAUUCAGUGAAUCAUCGAAUCUUUGAACGCACAUUGCGCCCGCCAGUAUUCUGGCGGGCAUGCCUGUUCGAGCGUCAUUUCAACCCUCAAGCCCCCGGGUUUGGUGUUGGGGAUCGGGCUGCGGUUCUGCCGCGGCCCGGCCCCGAAAUCUAGUGGCGGUCUCGCUGCAGCCUCCAUUGCGUAGUAGCUAACACCUCGCAACUGGAACGCGGCGCGGCCAAGCCGUUAAACCCCCAACUUCUGAAUGUUGACCUCGGAUCAGGUAGGAAUACCCGCUGAACUUAAGC
rnacentral:misc_RNA from 1 species